GCCGAUGUAGCUCAGUUGGCUAGAGCAGCUGAUUUGUAAUCAGCAGGUCGUGGGUUCGAGCCCCUCUAUCGGCUCAA
rnacentral:tRNA from 1 species